CACCUUCAGGCGUUUGGACUUGGUGUAGGUUGUGAGUGCCCAGCUGUGUGGGCUGAACCUCCGUGGGGUUUAGGGAGAAGAAAGGACCCCAGAUCGACGUCCCCUCGUUCCCAAUUUGGGGAUCGGCGCUCUGGCUGUUUGGUGAAAGAGAGAGAGGAACUCAGAGUGGUUUUCCAGAUGGGAAUCACAUUGCUCUCUGUCCCUGAGAUCUUGCUGGAGACAGGACUACUCAGUCCCUCUUUGCUGGGUCAUCUGUUCCAGAGGAAACAUGUGUCAUUCUGACUGAGCCCCUGCCUGUCUGUCACCUUAAGAACCAGUCAAUUCAUAUGGUCCACAUAUCAAGGUCUCCUGUGCCCAGAGAGAGAGAAGAUUUCAUUUCAACCAUCACCAUCACCAC
rnacentral:lncRNA from 1 species